GGGCGAAAGCUUGACGCAGCGACGCGCGUGGAUGAUUAAGGCUUCGGGUGUAAAUCAUAAGCAGGAGAUAAGCAGAUGAUAUAUUUCUGUGAUGACGGUACCUGCCUAAAGCCCCGGCUAACUACGUGCCAGCAGCCGCGGUAAUACGUAUGGGGCGAGCGUUGUUCGGAAUUAUUGGGCGUAAAGGGUGUCUAGGCGGGGAAUUAAGUAAGGUGUGAAAGCCAUGGGCUCAACUCAUGAAUUGCAUCUUAAACUGAUUCUCUUGAGUUAGGGAGAGGAGAGCGGAAUUCCUGGUGUAGCGGUGAAAUGCGUAGAUAUCAGGAAGAACACCAGUGGCGAAGGCGGCUCUCUGGCCUAUAACUGACGCUAAAGCACGAAAGCGUGGGGAGCGAACGGGAUUAGAUACCCCGGUAGUCCACGCCGUAAACGUUGUAUACUAGGUGUUAGGAACUUGAUUCCUAGUGCCGCAGUUAACGCAUUAAGUAUACCGCCUGGGGAGUACGGCCGCAAGGCUUAAACUCAAAGAAAUUGACGGGGGCCCGCACAAGCGGUGGAGCAUGUGGUUUAAUUCGAUGAUACGCGAAGAACCUUACCUGGGCUUGAACUGCAUUUGACAGGUGUAGAGAUACACUCUCCUUCGGGCAGAUGUAGAGGUGCUGCAUGGUUGUCGUCAGCUCGUGUCGUGAGAUGUUGGGUUAAGUCCCGCAACGAGCGCAACCCUUACCUCUUGUUGCUAUCAGGUAAUGCUGGGCACUCUAGAGGAACUGCCGGUGAUAAACCGGAGGAAGGUGGGGAUGACGUCAAAUCAGCACGGCCCUUAUGUCCAGGGCUACACACGUGCUACAAUGGCCGGUACAAUGAGCUGCAACACCGCGAGGUUGAGCUAAUCUCAAAAAACCGGUCUCAGUUCGGAUUGCAGUCUGCAACUCGACUGCAUGAAGUUGGAAUCGCUAGUAAUCGUGGAUCAGCACGCCACGGUGAAUACGUUCCCGGGCCUUGUACACACCGCCCGUCACACCACCCGAGUUGACAGCACCCAAAAUGGCUGAUCUAACC
rnacentral:rRNA from 1 species